GAUGAACGCUGGCGGCGUGCCUAAUACAUGCAAGUCGAGCGAACAGAUAAGGAGCUUGCUCCUUUGACGUUAGCGGCGGACGGGUGAGUUACACGUGGAUAACCUACCUAUAAGACUGGGAUAACUUCGGGAAACCGGAGCUAAUACCGGAUAACAUAUUGAACCGCAUGGUUCAAUAGUGAAAGGCGGCUUUGCUGUCACUUAUAGAUGGAUCCGCGCCGUAUUAGCUAGUUGGUAAGGUAACGGCUUACCAAGGCAACGAUGCGUAGCCGACCUGAGAGGGUGAUCGGCCACACUGGAACUGAGACACGGUCCAGACUCCUACGGGAGGCAGCAGUAGGGAAUCUUCCGCAAUGGGCGAAAGCCUGACGGAGCAACGCCGCGUGAGUGAUGAAGGUCUUCGGAUCGUAAAACUCUGUUAUCAGGGAAGAACAAAUGUGUAAGUAACUGUGCACAUCUUGACGGUACCUGAUCAGAAAGCCACGGCUAACUACGUG
rnacentral:rRNA from 1 species